CCUACGGGUAGCAGCAGUGGGGAAUAUUGCACAAUGGGGGAAACCCUGAUGCCGCGACGCCGCGUGAGUGAAGAAGUAUUUCGGUACGUAAAGCUCUAUCAGCAGGGAAGAAAAUGACGGUACCUGACUCAAAAGCCCCCGCUAACUACGUGCCAGCAGCCGCGGUCAUACGUAGGGGGCAAGCGUUAUCCGGAUUUACUGGUUGUAAAGGGAGCGUAGACGGCAGCGCAAGUCUGUAGUGAAAUCCCAUGGCUUAACCAUGGAACUGCUUUGGAAACUGUGCAGCUGGAGUGCAGGAGAGGUAAGCGGAAUGCGUAGUGGAGCGGUGAAAUGCGUAGAUAUUAGGAGGAAUACCAGUGGCGAAGGAGGCUUACUGGACUGUAACUGACGUUGAGGCUCGAAAGCGUGGGGAGCAAACAGGAUUAGAUACCCCUGUAGUC
rnacentral:rRNA from 1 species